rnacentral:rRNA from 1 species
CUACGGGGGGCACCAGUGAGGAAUAUUGCACAAUGGAGGGAACCCUGAUGCAGCAACGCCGCGUGGAGGAUGACGCAUUUCGGUGUGUAAACUCCUUUUAUAUGUCAAGAAAAUGACGGUAGCAUAUGAAUAAGCACCGGCUAACUCCGUGCCAGCAGCCGCGGUAAUACGGAGGAUGCAAGCGUUACUCGGAAUCACUGGGCGUAAAGGACGCGUAGGCGGGUUGGAAAGUCAGGUGUGAAAUCCUACAGCUUAACUGUAGAACUGCACUUGAAACUUCUAAUCUAGAGUAUAGGAGGGGGAGAUGGAAUUAGUGGUGUAGGGGUAAAAUCCGUAGAUAUCACUAGGAAUACCUAAAGCGAAGGCGAUCUCCUGGAACAUUACUGACGCUAAGGCGUGAAAGCGUGGGGAGCAAACAGGAUUAGAUACCCCGGUAGUC